rnacentral:misc_RNA from 1 species
GAUGAAGAACGCAGCGAAAUGCGAUACGUAAUGUGAAUUGCAGAAUUCAGUGAAUCAUCGAGUCUUUGAACGCACAUUGCGCCCCCUGGUAUUCCGGGGGGCAUGCCUGUCCGAGCGUCAUUGCUGCCCUCAAGCACGGCUUGUGUGUUGGGCCUCCGUCCUCCUCCCGGGGGACGGGCCCGAAAGGCAGCGGCGGCACCGCGUCCGGUGCUCGAGCGUAUGGGGCUUCGUCACCCGCUCUUGUAGGCCCGGCCGGCGCUUGCCGACACAUCAAUCUUUUUUCCAGGUUGACCUCGGAUCAGGUAGGGAUACCCGCUGAACUUAAGCAUAUCAAUAAGCGGAGGA